AAAAAACAUAGUAUAUAUAGGGUUUGGUACCCUCCCUGGUUUCAGGCAUCCACUGGACGAGGGAGACUGCUUUACUACUGAAACUGUGGCCUUGUUUACAUGAGGACUAAGAAUCCACUCCAUUCUGUUCACCAUGACGAAUCAUUCUGACUGUCCAAUGGCUAAAAUUCUGCUAAGCCUCACAAUUAUGCAACAGUUACAAAGGCUUGUCAGAUGUUAGGAAGCAGAGAAAUUGCUCUCUCAGCAAAUUUUCCAAUACUCUAUGCCAUUAAAAAUUCUGCUCUCUUUUUCCGAAUCACCCUCUCUUAUCACUUGUCUGCUAGCUUAACUGCUUUCUACUUUUCAAAUUCAGCUGCAUUGCAUUUUUGAGGCAGACUUUGUACCUACAUCAUCCUAGUAUUCUGAUCGCUCAGUGUCCUCAGGAACAAGAAAGAAGAAGACAGCGCCAUGUGUGGCAUGAGACAAAAUGAAGCUGAAGUCCUAAGUCUUUCUCUUAUCGUCUGUGAAAGUUAAGUGUGCAGUGUUAACAAUGACGGGAAGCACAACAGUGAAAGUAAUAAACCAGUUUGCUGCCUUCUCCCCUGCGUCACAGAUGGACAAACUCCCUUAGGACACUCGUGUGAUGGGAUCCUGCAAUGGAGGAUUGGGAAGAGCACCUUCACCAAAGUGUUUUGUAGAGGUGGAAGGAACACUGAAAUUACUAAAGGUUUCACCAGCUAACACCCACCAGGACUGCAGUAUGCUUAUGUUAGCACAGAAAAUGAUUUUCACCAGAUCAUCAGUUUGCAAAAUAUUGUUAAAGGAACUGCUAACAGGCAGUUGUGGUGUCACAGAGAAGACCCUGGAUCUGGAAUCUCAUUUCAUUCCGACACAUAUUUAUUGAAGGCCUGCUGCUGGCUCGGCCUCUCUUUCGCCCCGGGGAUGCAUCAGUGAGUGAAGCAGACAGAUUUCCGUCCUUGUGGAGAUUUCCUUCUGGUAGAGUUAGGGAGACAAAAUUAAUAAUAAACAAAAUGAAUGAGCAAAUUGUGUAGUAUAU
rnacentral:lncRNA from 1 species